rnacentral:lncRNA from 1 species
ACGAAUGCGGUAUCCCCGAUGAACUCAGUGCCGCUGGGGUCUUACAGAGGAUGAGACAUAGUCUGUUGCAUAAGGGUCACCGUGGUCCUGUCUCGAUCCAGAUUUAUGGUGAUUUGACCGGUCUUGACUUUCAAUCCUCCGACAUCAAGCUCAAUCAUUUUCACUCAGGUGAACGAACGAACAUAAACUGCUUGAUUAAAUUACGCUUUUCAAAAAAAUAAUGUUUUUUACAUGCGUAAUUGCGUAUGGUUUCAGGAGAGAAACGUGAGAAGAUGACGAAAAUCUUGGAAGACAUAGUUUCGUGGUCAGGUGAGAAUCCAGAACCAUCGGUGGGUUUGCUAGCCUUGGGAGACGUGGGAGACGCUGGAGAUGACAUUGUGGAGGUUGUUGAACUUCUCAAGAGUCAGAAAAAUUACAGGUUUAUGGUUCUGACUCCUCCACCACUCCCAGUCUCCCACCUCCUCCUCCAACGGUGGUGAUUAUGAUGGCUCCUCUUCCUCGUGGUGGACUCUAGUUUUUUGGUUUUAUGAAGCUGAAGAAUAACGUUUUCAUGAAAAAUAACAGUUGUUUGCAUUGAGUAAAUGUUGGGAUAAUCGGAAUCCUAUUUUGGAAACUUUUGUCAUUCUCGGAAGCAAAGAAG